rnacentral:piRNA from 9 species
UACCUGGUUGAUCCUGCCAGUAGC